UACGUAGGGGGCAAGCGUUGUCCGGAUUUAUUGGGCGUAAAGAGCGUGUAGGCGGCCAGGCAGGUCCGCUGUGAAAACUCGAGGCUCAACCUCGAGAGGUCGGUGGAAACCGUCUGGCUAGAGUCCGGAAGAGGAGAGUGGAAUUCCCGGUGUAGCGGUGAAAUGCGCAGAUAUCGGGAAGAACACCCGUGGCGAAGGCGGCUCUCUGGGACGGUACUGACGCUGAGGCGCGAAAGCGUGGGGAGCAAACAGG
rnacentral:rRNA from 1 species